CCUACGGGAGGCAGCAGUGAGGAAUAUUGGUCAAUGGGCGCGAGCCUGAACCAGCCAAGUCGCGUGAGGGAAGACGGUCCUAUGGAUUGUAAACCUCUUUUGUCGGGGAGCAAAAGACGCCACGCGUGGCGUUCCGAGAGUACCCGAAGAAAAAGCAUCGGCUAACUCCGUGCCAGCAGCCGCGGUAAUACGGAGGUGGCAAGCGUUAUCCGGAUUUCUUGGGUGUAAAGGGCGUGUAGGCGGGAAAGCAAGUCAGAUUUGAAAACUCAGGGAUCAACCCUGAGCCUGCAUUUGAAACUGUUUUUCUUGAGUGCUGGAGAGGCAAUCGGAA
rnacentral:rRNA from 1 species